AGGCGGUUGCAGGUGGAGUGGUGUCUAAACGAUUCUUGGGAACUAUGGAUGAGUCUUCAGACUGCUGAAUGAACAAAGACGCUUGAAGUGCCUGGAGGAGAGACGAGAACUGCAGCGUAUGAAACAAACAUUUGACUGCUGAAUGACCAAAGACACAUGAAGGGCCUGGAGGAGACGAGAACGGGAACACAUGGAACAAACAUUUGAUGAGGGCAGAGUUUCCAGACCUGACCUGAAGAAGAAGACGACGACGGAGUUCCUUUUCUUCUUCAUCCUCCCCCUCUUCUUCCAC